AUACGUACCUGGCAGGGGAGAUACCAUGACCAUAAAGGUGGUUUUCCCAGGGUGAGGCUCAUCCCUUGCACUCUGGUUGUGCUGACCCCUGCAGUUUCCCCAACUGCGAGAAACUCGACUGCAUAAUGUGUGGUAAUGCGGGACUGCAUUCACACUUUCCCCUA
rnacentral:snRNA from 1 species